CGACCUCAGAUCAGAUGUGGCGACCCUCUGAAUUUAAGCGUAUUAGUCAGCGGAAGAAAAGAAACUAACCAGGAUUCCAUCAGUAAUGAUGAGUGAACAGGGAAGAGCCCAGCGCCGAAUCUCCGCCCUGCGGUGGGGCGUGGGAAAUGUGUCGUAGGGAAGAACCACUCCCCGGUGCCUCUCGUUGGGGGCCCAAGUCCUGAUUGAGGCCCAGCCUGUGGACAGUGUGAGGCCGGUAGUGGACCCCGGUGCACUGGGCCUGGGUCUUCCCGGAGUCGGGUUGCUUGAGAAUGCAGCCCAAAGCAGGUGGUAAAUGCCAUCUAAGGGUAAAUUACCGACACGAGACCGAUAGUAAGCAAGUACCGUAAGGGAAAGUUGAAGAGAACUUUGAAGGGGGAGUUCAAGAGGGCGUGAAACCGUUAAGAGGUAAACGGGUGGGUUCCGUGCAGCCCGCCCGGAGGAUUCAAGCCGACGGCGUGGUUUGGCUGUGCUGGCGGAUCGGCGGAUCUUUUCCGCCCCCCAUUCCUCUCGACUCCACCUGUCCUACUCCCCUUCCUGGGGGAGGUUGGGGGGCUCUGGUGGGUGUGGAGGUGGGUGGGUGGGGCUGGCGGGGGACUGCCCCCGGCCGGCGGCUGGCCGCCGCCGGGGACAUUUCCACCGCUGGUGGUUUGUGGCAACUGGCUCCGGGACGGCUAGGAAGGCCCGGCGGGAAGGUGGCUUGGGGUCCCUGUUGUCUCCGCCGCCCUCCCUCUCCCUGAGAGGAGGGGGCGGCAUGGGGGAGUGGGCCGAGCCCCUGGGUGUUACAGCACCCCGGCAGCAGCGCUUGACGAAGACCAGGGCCGAGGAAGUGAGACCCAUCGGUGUGCUGUCCUCGCUGUGGGUGCUCACCCCCAUGUGGGGUCUCCCACGAGUAGUCUCCCCUCCGUGUGGUUGCGACGGUGACUCUCGGGGGCCAGGCUGCCCCUUCCAUGGUGCGACUGCUUCCCAAUCCUCUCUGUGCUCUCCCCGGACUCCCCCUCCUGGGGGGCCCCUGUGGAGGCCCGCGUGGCCGUGGGCAGGGUGGACUGUCCCCACUGUGCCCCGUGUGGGUUGUGCCCUCGGGCCCCAGGGAUCUUUUUCUCUCCAGGGGCCACGCUGGAAGUUUUCCGAAGCAAGCGCGCACACGGUGUCGGCGGUGACGUCGGCUACCCACCAGACCCGACUUGAAACACGUACCAGUCAAACACGUACCAAGCAAUCUAACACGUGCGCGAGUCUGGGGCUCGCAUGAAAGCUGCCGUGGUGCAAUGAAGGUGAAGGCUGGUGCCACUCGCCAGCUGAGGUGGGAUCCCGAGACCUCUCCAGUCUGAGUGUGUGCCACUGUCCCCUCUCGCCCACCGCGCCAGGGAGGUGGAACACGAGCGCGCAUGUUAGCACUGAAAGAUGGUGAACUAUGCCUUAGCAGGGCGGAGCCAGAGGAAACUCUGGUGGAGGUCCGUAGCGGUCCCGACGUGCAAAUCGGUCGUCCGACCUGGGUAUAGGGGUGAAAGACUAAUUGAACCAUCUAGUAGCUGGUUCCCUCCGAAGUUUCCCUCAGGAUAGCUGGUGCUCUCGCAAACCCUUCCCGCCACCACAGUUUUAUCUGGUAAAGCGAAUGAUUAGAGGUCUUGGGACCGAAACGAUCUCAACCUAUUCUCAAAGUUUAAGUGGAUUAAGAAGCCCGGCUCGCUGGUGUAGAGCCGGGCGUGGAAUGCGAGUGCCUAGUGGGCCACUUUUGGUAAGCAAAACUGGCUCUGCGGGAUGAAUCGAACGCUGGGUUAAGGUGCCCGAUGCCGACGCUCAUCAGCCCCCAGAAAAGGUGUUGGUUGAUAAUAGACAGGAGGACGGUGGCCAUGGAAGUGGGAAUCCGCUAAGAAGUGUGUAACUCACCUGCCGAAUCAACUAGCCCUGAAAAUGAGUGGCGCUGGAGCGUCGGGCCCAUACCUGGCAGUUGCUGGCAGUCAGGAGUGGACGGGAGCGGCGGGCGGGCCGCUGGCCCCUCUCGCGCCCCGCUCCGCCUCUCCUCCCUCUCCAUGGGGGGAGGAGGGUCAGGUGGGCACGGUGGGGGGGAGGUCAGGGGUGGGGGGGCGGUGCCGCCCCGAGCCCCGAGGACGCUACGCCGCGAUGAGUAGGAGGGCCGCUGCGGUGAGCCUUGAAGCCUAGGGUGCGGGCCCGGGUGGAGCCGCCGCAGGUGCAGAUCUUGGUGGUAGUAGCAAAUAUUCAAACGAGAACUUUGAAGGCUGAAGUGGAGAAGGGUUCCAUGUGAACAGCAGUUGAACAUGGGUCAGUCGGUCCUGAGAGAUGGGCGAGCGCCAUUCGGAAGGGAUGGGUGAUGGCCUCCGUUGCCCUCAGCUGAUCGAAAGGGAGUCGGGUUCAGAUCCCCGAAUCCGGAGUGGCGGAGAUGGGCGCCAUGAGGCGUCCAGUGCGGUAAUGCGACCGAUCCUGGAGAAGCCGGCGGGAGCCCCGGGGAGAGUUCUCUUUU